rnacentral:rRNA from 1 species
UACGUAGGGACCGAGCGUUGUCCGGAAUCAUUGGGCGUAAAGAGCGUGUAGGCGGCCACUUAAGUCCUGCGUGAAAUCUUGCGGCUCAACCGCAAGCGGUCGUGGGAAACUGGGUGACUAGAGUCCGGAAGAGGAGAGUGGAAUUCCUGGUGUAGCGGUGAAAUGCGCAGAUAUCAGGAAGAACACCCGUGGCUAAGGCGGCUCUCUAGUACGGUACUGACGCUGAGACGCGAAAGCGUGGGGAGCGAACAGG